AACGAACGCUGGCGGCAGGCCUAACACAUGCAAGUCGAGCGCGCCCUUCGGGGUGAGCGGCGGACGGGUGAGUAACGCGUGGGAACGUGCCCUUUUCUACGGAAUAGCCUCGGGAAACUGAGAGUAAUACCGUAUACGCCCUUUGGGGGAAAGAUUUAUCGGAAAAGGAUCGGCCCGCGUUGGAUUAGGUAGUUGGUGGGGUAAUGGCCUACCAAGCCGACGAUCCAUAGCUGGUUUGAGAGGAUGAUCAGCCACACUGGGACUGAGACACGGCCCAGACUCCUACGGGAGGCAGCAGUGGGGAAUCUUAGACAAUGGGGGCAACCCUGAUCUAGCCAUGCCGCGUGAGUGAUGAAGGCCUUAGGGUUGUAAAGCUCUUUCAGCUGGGAAGAUAAUGACGGUACCAGAAGAAGAAGCCCCGGCUAACUCCGUG
rnacentral:rRNA from 1 species